rnacentral:lncRNA from 1 species
CGCCAUCUUGGCCCAUAACAAAGCAAAAUGUUCAAUAGAAAAUUACAUGUUCAAUAGCAUACUACCAAGAAAAAAGGUUCCUAACAUAAAUAUGACAUUUCAUUUCAUUUUAUUUUUUGGUUUGUUCAGUGCAAAGAUUUUAUAGUGUCGCCUAGUUAUUCUAUGAAAGCAUACAAACUUUUAAAGAGUGAAUUGUUGGGUCUGUACCCUAGUAAUAUGAUUCACUUUUGUUUCUGAUAGAUUUACUUGUAUAUGUCCAAUUGUAAAUCAGAUGUCCCUUAAACAUUUUGAAAGUACAUACUUUACUUAUCAAAAAAGGAAGGAAUAAUCAAAUGAUCAACACAAUAGCUUAAACUUGAGACCAUCCAAAAGCUAUCUACAUAAAACAAACAAAAAAAAAAUCCAUAAAAUGUUUCCAUAACCAAUAGCAUAUAAGAAGAAAUAAUGCAGACAAUUAAAAAAAGAAAACAAAAUAAAAACAUCUUUUGGCAACAAACAAUGAUCCUAAACUAGUAAAGAGAAUUCACCAUGAAACUGGAGUUGGUUGCACAACUACUUUCUUUAGCUGCAGUUACAUAAAGUGCAAAAUGUUAAAUAUGAAAAAAAUAGGAAGAUAGUUAAUCAGGUAGUAAAAUUUAAAGCGAGGAAAACAAAAGUAACAAGUAAUGAGGUAAUUUCUCUAGAUGCUACACCAAAGUUAUGAUGAGGCUAACAGACUUACGCAUGAAAUAGCAGGAUGAAGGAGACAGGUUGAUCCACACCAUAAAAACAUAUGUUAUAUUUGUAUGAAUUUCUAGAGCACAUAACAAUAUCAAGUGACUAAGCGUACAUAUGUUAUAUUCAACAUUCGUAUAACAACCGGUUAUUCACGAUCUACCUGUUUCAUUAAAUGUAUUUUGCUGUACAUUUUAUAUGGCUUUCAAAUCAGGUAUGCAUUUGAUAUCAGGAAACCAAAAAAAUGUGCCAAGAUGAAUAUGCCUUUUAAGAUUAAUAUUUAGACAGUCUAGGCUAAACUUACCUGAUCUGAUCAUAGAGUCCAGAAACAGCUGAUUGAAGUUUUUUGAGCUUAUCAGAAUCAAAAGCUGAUUCUAGUUGAUUUAUAGUUUUGUUGCUAAUUUUGUCUUCUAACCAUAAUGUAUGAAUCAGGUUGAUAUUAGGACAAAAAUUAUCUCUAGCAUUCACAAUAUUCUGUGCAACAAGAAGAGACUAUAACAGAUUGUUACCGACAGACAUUAGCACUAGCAUCACAUGGAAUUUCAAACUAUUAUUAGUCUUCUCUCUUGAUUUUAACGAUUGGAAAAAAGAUCAAAAUCUUGACAUUUUCAGUAAUACAUACUGGGACAUUUCUACGAACAUGUUAACCACAAAUUACUCGGUGAGACAUUUGUACAAACAUGUUAACUGCAAAUUUACUUCAAAAAAUGCAAUAGUUUCCUUUAUUCAUUGGCCAUGGCACAACAAUCCCAAUUCAAAUAUGGAGAAGAAAAAAUAAAGUUAAUAUGCAAAUUUAAUUAUAUAAAAAAGAGCAAAAUUAAUAACAAAUUGAUUCUAAAUAAUGCCCAAAUUUGGUGUGUGAAUAUGAGAUGUGUGAUGUUUGUGUUGUGAGUGUGGGGGUGUUUGUGUGUCAUGUAUGUGAGUGUGAGGAGGGGUGUACCUGCAACAGAAGAGUAGAGGCAGUGCCAAUUAAAUCAAUAAAUAACGUGUUUGUUUGACAUUACAAUUUGUAGAAAAAAAGGUAAUAUGGUUGAUAAUUCUCAAUCUUUGACAUUGUCCUUUUUGAGUUGAAUCAAAAUAGAAAGAGGGGUAAAUCUAAUAUUUUCACUAGUACAAAGUAGUAAAUAGACAACACUUAAACCACAACGUUUUUAUAAAAAGCGUUGUAGUAUUUUUUUUCACAAUGUUUUUUAACAAAACGUUAUAGAUAUAUAUGAAAAAACGUUAUCUAUUUAAAAUGAUAUUUUUUGGUUUUAAUUAGAUAACGUUUUUUUUUUAAAACGUUAUGUACUUAAAAUACACGGAGCAGAGGGAGAAACGAAACACGAAUAGCAAAG